UACGUAGGGGGCAAGCGUUGUCCGGAAUUAUUGGGCGUAAAGCGCGCGCAGGCGGUUCUUUAAGUCAGGGGUGAAAGCCCAGAGCUCAACUCUGGAAUUGCCUUUGAAACUAGAGAACUUGGGUACGGGAGAGGUGAGUGGAAUUCCGAGUGUAGAGGUGAAAUUCGUAGAUAUUCGGAAGAACACCAGUGGCGAAGGCGGCUCACUGGCCCGUUACCGACGCUCAGGCGCGACAGCGUGGGGAGCAAACAGG
rnacentral:rRNA from 1 species